GACGAACGCUGGCGGCGUGCCUAAUACAUGCAAGUAGAACGCAGUUGCGAACGGGAGAGUAACGCGUAGGUAACUGCAUGGUAGCGGGGGAUAAAUAUUGGAAACGAUAGCUAAUACCGCAUACUACCAGAUGGACCUGCGUUGUAUUAGCUAGUUGGUUAGGUAACGGGUCACCUAGGCAACGAUACAUAGCCGACCUGAGAGGGUGGUCAGCCACACGUGGACUGUGAAACGGCCCAGACGCCGACGGGAGGCAGCAGUAGGGAAUCUGCGGCAAUUGGGGGAACCCUGACCGAGCAAAGCGGAGGGAGUGAACAAGGUUUUCGGGUCGUAAAGCUAUGUUGUUAAGGAAGCGGUACUUAACCAGGAAGGGACGGCUAACUACGUGCCAGCAGCCGCGGUAAUUC
rnacentral:rRNA from 1 species